GAUGAACGCUGGCGGCGUGCCUAAUACAUGCAAGUCGAGCGAACAGACGAGGAGCUUGCUCCUCUGACGUUAGCGGCGGACGGGUGAGUAACACGUGGAUAACCUACCUAUAAGACUGGGAUAACUUCGGGAAACCGGAGCUAAUACCGGAUAAUAUAUUGAACCGCAUGGUUCAAUAGUGAAAGACGGUUUUGCUGUCACUUAUAGAUGGAUCCGCGCCGCAUUAGCUAGUUGGUAAGGUAACGGCUUACCAAGGCAACGAUGCGUAGCCGACCUGAGAGGGUGAUCGGCCACACUGGAACUGAGACACGGUCCAGACUCCUACGGGAGGCAGCAGUAGGGAAUCUUCCGCAAUGGGCGAAAGCCUGACGGAGCAACGCCGCGUGAGUGGUGAAGGUCUUCGGAUCGUAAAACUCUGUUAUUAGGGAAGAACAAAUGUAUAAGUAACUAUGCACGUCUUGACGGUACCUAAUCAGAAAGCCACGGCUAACUACGUG
rnacentral:rRNA from 1 species